UUUCUCUUUCUCCAUCAAAUGGGAAAAAAAAUAACAACUCUCAGAGAUCUCAUCGGCGCCAUUAAAGACAAAGCUUCACAAUCCAAAGCAGCUUUCAUCUCUAAACCAAGCAGUUUCUCCCUCCACCUCGCCGUCCUCCGCGCCACCACUCACGCGCCGUCAUCACCACCCGACGACCACCACAUCUCCUCCCUUCUCACCCUCGGUGACAGCUCACGCGCCACCGCUUCUUCACUUAUCGUCAUAAUCAUGGACCGACUCCACCGUACCGGCGAUUCAACCGUCGCACUCAAAUGCCUUCUGAUCAUACAUCAGAUCAUCAAACGCGGACCGUUCAUAUUACUAGAUCAACUCUCUGUAUUUCCGUCUACCGGCGGACGUAACUACCUCAAACUCUCCGCCUUCCGCGACGGCGCUACCGCAUCCAGAUUCACAAUCUCCGCCUGGAUCCGAUUUUACUCCAGAUACAUCGAAUCUCUACUCUACACUUCCAGAAUUUUAGGCUAUUUUCUCUCUUCGUCUUCUACGUAUAACACAGAUGAAAAAAUCUCCACCUUCUUAAACUCAGAUCUAAUCAGAGACGUCGAUUCGUUAGUUCAAUUGAUCGAAGAAACAGUAAAAUUACCUGAUUCGCUUCUACUCGACGGCAACAAAUUGCUCUACGAAGUGAUCGGAUUAUUGAACUCCGAUUACUUAUCGACGGUGAACGAGUUGUUAAUCCGGCUCAGUGAGUUCAACGAACGGCUCAGUUGUUUGAGUUUCGGUGAUUCGG
rnacentral:misc_RNA from 1 species